rnacentral:misc_RNA from 1 species
GUUCCGUAGGUGAACCUGCGGAAGGAUCAUUACCGAGUGAGGGCCCUCUGGGUCCAACCUCCCACCCGUGUUUAUCGUACCUUGUUGCUUCGGCGGGCCCGCCUCACGGCCGCCGGGGGGCACCCGCCCCCGGGCCCGCGCCCGCCGAAGACACCAUUGAACGCUGUCUGAAGAUUGCAGUCUGAGCAUCUUAGCUAAAUCAGUUAAAACUUUCAACAACGGAUCUCUUGGUUCCG